CCAGACAGCCAUUUUGCUUUCUUGCAUUUCUUUUCCAUGGGGAUGGUCUUGAUCCCCAUGGAAUCAAGGUUUAUUUAGGAAGCAGUAAAUAUCUUAGUGCAUCAAAAGCAGAAUGAGGGCAGUGGGUGGUAGAAAUAUUGGCAAAAAAUUAUAUUUGAGACAGAUUAAGGAGGACCUUGAAGAUCAUGUGGAGUCAGAUACAUAAAAAAUAAGGGACUGAUUAAACUAGAUUUGUAUUUAGUAAUAAUCUACUGAUUAUUAUCAAAAGGAAUUGCUUUGGGUGAGACUGAAGGCAGAGCGGCCAGGCAGGGAGAAUAGUUUCUACAAGCACAGCAUCUCUACGAGGCAGAUUUUCCAAGGCAGCUCAGAUCUCAAAUAGACCUUUUAUUUGUCUCCCUGUGUGCUUGUCACAUGCCCUGAUUUCAGCUUCAGAAAAUAAAAUCCUGAAUCACAGAUGAUGUGAUUGCUAAUCUUGUAGAUAGGUGCUGAUGGAUCUGUUGCCCAGGCAAUUUGUGCCACUAAUAAAGACCACCUGGAGAAGACGCCCUCGUGCAAAAAGAGGGUGGAGUGUGAAGCAUGGUACAGGCUACUGGGGGAGGUAAAUUCUGGCUUUUGGUGUCCUUCAAACUCAUGGUGCUGAUUGUCACAUAUUUCAAAAACAGUUAAGGCCUCCUUUCUCUGUAGGGAUCAGGCUGUUUUACUCUCAGCUAGCCCCACCCUUCAUGCUGCUGCUUAUACCUCCCUCAGGUGCUUUAUUUUCUGCCUCUUGCUUUAAUUAUGUCUGUGUGAAUCUCUUGAUCUUUUCCACUAGAUGAGAGAGCUCUCUGGGGGCUUGCUGAAAUUGCAGUUCAUGUUGUAUAUCAUCAUUUCUCAUCCAUCAAUUUUUGUGGAAUUAUAGAAUCUUGGGCUGUAAAGGACAAUAAAAACAACCCAUUCUAAGGAUGCCCUUAGACAUCACAGACCAUGUCUGGAUGAUUUGGAUGGGAAGAUGAGUGGAUAGUUAAGUAGAAAGCACAUGGGCAUUUGCUGUAACCCUGACAUCUUCGGGGAUGAUCAUCUUCCUUUCUUCGAACGGAUGGCACACUGUUAGGUGAUUGUGGGAACCGAGGCCCUCCUGUACCUCUACCCGCGUCUGUGUUGAUGGAGGAGAUAUGCUCAAGGGCUCCAAGGCAGACGUGGAAGGAAGUGAAUAAGGAUGAAGCACACAGCACAGCCAAGCCUUUAUGUAAAAUGUUAUCUCACUUCCUGGUUGAAAGCAGAG